rnacentral:rRNA from 1 species
GAUGAACGCUGGCGGCGUGCCUAAUACAUGCAAGUCGAGCGAACGGACGAGAAGCUUGCUUCUCUGAUGUUAGCGGCGGACGGGUGAGUAACACGUGGAUAACCUACCUAUAAGACUGGGAUAACUUCGGGAAACCGGAGCUAAUACCGGAUAAUAUUUUGAACCGCAUGGUUCAAAAGUGAAAGACGGUCUUGCUGUCACUUAUAGAUGGAUCCGCGCUGCAUUAGCUAGUUGGUAAGGUAACGGCUUACCAAGGCAACGAUGCAUAGCCGACCUGAGAGGGUGAUCGGCCACACUGGAACUGAGACACGGUCCAGACUCCUACGGGAGGCAGCAGUAGGGAAUCUUCCGCAAUGGGCGAAAGCCUGACGCAGCAACGCCGCGUGAGUGAUGAAGGUCUUCGGAUCGUAAAACUCUGUUAUUAGGGAAGAACAGAUGUGGAAGUAACUGUGCACAUCUUGACGGUACCUAAUCAGAAAGCAACGGCUAACUACGUG